GGUCCGGUUGAAUUGGUGCAAGGAGCAUGUGAGAUGGACACCCGAGCAGUGGAAGUCAGUGAUUUUCUCGGAUGAGAAGAAAUUCAUCCUGCGUGUGGCUGAUGGGAUGGAAACUGUUGGACAUGAGGAAGAUCCAGACUGUUUGGUGAUGAGAUUCCCCACCAGCCAGUUGAUAUGGGGCUGCAUUUCUUAUCGUGGAGUAGGUCGCCUGCAGUUUAUAAAUGGAUCUUUAAAUGCCAGUGGGUACCUGGCAAUACUGGAAGAAAAGCUGCUGCCAACCAUUAGGGACCACUUCAACCUGCCAAAUGGCUGCAUCUUUCAGAAAGACUCUGCUGCCUGUCAUCGGGCUAAAAGUGUGAAGAAAUGGCUGGAGGAGCGGUCCAUUACAACCCUAAAAUGGCCAGGAUACAGCCCGGACCUUAAUCCUGUAGAGAACUGUUGGCAUCUUCUGGCAUCUGCAGUUGGCAGAAAGAGACCAAAGACACUUCAUGAACUUCAGGAAGCCAUCGUUCAUGUUUGGAACAACGAACUCUCCCUUGACUAUGUUCAGAAAUUGAUCUUGUCAAUGCCUCAGAGGUGUGCUGCUGUCAUCAGGGCCAGAGGCAGUUCGAUUAAGUUUGUGCCUGCAUGGUGACGUUUACAUGUUGAACUGAAAGAACUUCCUUGAGGAUUUCUAAUAAUAUUUUAGUCGUAAAUGCUGUGUUUACCACAGAUGUUGUAUCUUUGCUUUAAAUAUUAACAGGGGCAGAGACAAGGGGUGGCCCGGGGGUGCCCAUCGGACUACAAUCUUGCCACCCUUCCGGCCACGUCACGCAAUCAGCAGUGAAGUCUGUUAGAACGCUCUGCACAUACUCAGAGUUAUUUCAGAACUCUAAUGUAGUUUAAAUGGUAAUCUCAACAAUUAAAAGAGCAUAAUGUUGAGUAACCAAAUCCAAAUCUUUUUUUAUAAAUCAGUUCAGGGUUACAUUUUUUUUAAAUGGGACUAUUUGAAUUCCAGAGAUUUGAGAUGAGGGCUUCAGCCUGGCCACCCCUCAUGACAAUGUCUGAGUCUGUUGCUGACUAAUAAUAAAUAUGUUUUGUUUGUA